ACUGACCUGCGGCAGGGCUGCACGGAAGGCCACACUGGGACGUCCGUUUCCGCCUCCAUCGCCGCGGGGAUCAUCUCCCUCACCUUAGAAGCCAAUUCGCGGCUGAGCUGGAGGGACGUUCAGCACAUCAUAGUGAGGACGUCCCGCCCAGCUCACCUGAGAGCCCCCGACUGGCACAGCAAUGGAGCCGGAUACCGCGUCAGUCACCUGUAUGGGUUUGGGUUGAUGGAUGCGGAGGCGAUGGUGAGGGAGGCAGAGAGAUGGACACAGGUUCCCUCCCAGCACACCUGUGUGGAGAUCACAG